rnacentral:rRNA from 1 species
AUUGAACGCUGGCGGCAGGCCUAACACAUGCAAGUCGAGCGGAUGAAGGGAGCUUGCUCCUGGAUUCAGCGGCGGACGGGUGAGUAAUGCCUAGGAAUCUGCCUGGUAGUGGGGGAUAACGUCCGGACACGGGCGCUAAUACCGCAUACGUCCUGAGGGAGAAAGUGUGGGAUCUUCGGACCUCACGCUAUCAGAUGAGCCUAGGUCGGAUUAGCUAGUUGGUGGGGUAAAGGCCUACCAAGGCGACGAUCCGUAACUGGUCUGAGAGGAUGAUCAGUCACACUGGAACUGAGACACGGUCCAGACUCCUACGGGAGGCAGCAGUGGGGAAUAUUGGACAAUGGGCGAAAGCCUGAUCCAGCCAUGCCGCGUGUGUGAAGAAGGUCUUCGGAUUGUAAAGCACUUUAAGUUGGGAGGAAGGGCAGUAAGUUAAUACCUUGCUGUUUUGACGUUACCAACAGAAUAAGCACCGGCUAACUUCGUG